AUGGGGGGCCAUACCACCUUGAGAACGCCCGAUCCUGUCUGAUCUCCGAAGCUAAGCAGGGUCAGGCCCGGUUAGUACUUGGAUGGGAGACCGCCUGGGAAUGCCGGGUGCUGUAGGCU
rnacentral:rRNA from 1 species